rnacentral:rRNA from 1 species
GAUACCCGAAUGGGGAAACCCAGUGUGACUCGUCACACUAUCAUUAACUGAAUCCAUAGGUUAAUGAGGCGAACCGGGGGAACUGAAACAUCUAAGUACCCCGAGGAAAAGAAAUCAACCGAGAUUCCCCCAGUAGCGGCGAGCGAACGGGGAGGAGCCCAGAGCCUGAAUCAGCAUGUGUGUUAGUGGAAGCGUCUGGAAAGGCGCGCGAUACAGGGUGACAGCCCCGUACACAAAAGCGCAUGUGCUGUGAGCUCGAUGAGUAGGGCGGGACACGUGGUAUCCUGUCUGAAUAUGGGGGGACCAUCCUCCAAGGCUAAAUACUCCUGACUGACCGAUAGUGAACCAGUACCGUGAGGGAAAGGCGAAAAGAACCCCGGCGAGGGGAGUGAAAAAGAACCUGAAACCGUGUACGUACAAGCAGUGGGAGCCCCACCACCAAAGCAUUUGCUGUACCGCGUUGACGGAGCGAAGCGACGUCAAACCGAUAAAACAGCAGUGUAAAGUGAGCCGCAGGGCGCUUUGCGCGACAGCGCAAAGGCAGGCGGUUUCGCGUAGCGAAAGCGAAUGC